rnacentral:rRNA from 1 species
UACGUAGGGUGCGAGCGUUGCCCGGAUUUAUUGGGCGUAAAGGGCGCGUAGGCGGCUCUGCACGUUCGUUGUGAAAUCGCCCGGCUCAACUGGGCGGGGUCAGCGGAUACGGCAGAGCUUGAGCAAGCUAGGGGGCAAUGGAAUUCCCGGUGUAGUGGUGGAAUGCGUAGAUAUUGGGAAGAACACCGGUGGCGAAGGCGGCGACCUGGUCCGUGACUGACGCUGAGGCGCGAAAGCGUGGGGAGCAAACAGG